rnacentral:rRNA from 1 species
CCUACGGGUGGCAGCAGUGAGGAAUAUUGGUCAAUGGACGAGUGUCUGAACCAGCCAAGUAGCGUGAAGGAUGACUGCCCUAUGGGUUGUAAACUUCUUUUAUAAAGGAAUAAAACGAGGCACGUGUGCCUUUUUGCAUGUACUUUAUGAAUAAGGAUCGGCUAACUACGUGCCAGCAGCCGCGGUAAUACGGAGGAUCCGAGCGUUAUCCGGAUUUAUUGGGUUUAAAGGGAGCGUAGAUGGGUUGUUAAGUCAGUUGUGAAAGUGUGCGGCUCAACCGUAAAAUUGCAAUUGAUACUGGCAGUCUUGAGUACAGUUGAGGUAGGCGGAAUUCGUGGUGGAGCGGUGAAAUGCGUAGAUAUCAGGAAGAACCCCGAUGGCGAAGGCAGCUUACUAAGCUGUGACUGACAUUGAGGCUCGAAAGUGUGGGUAGCAAACAGGAUUAGAUACCCUUGUAGUC